rnacentral:rRNA from 1 species
CCUACGGGGGGCAGCAGUGGGGAAUUUUGGACAAUGGGCGCAAGCCUGAUCCAGCCAUUCCGCGUGAGUGAAGAAGGCCUUCGGGUUGUAAAGCUCUUUCGCAAGGGAAGAAAACUUAUCCUCUAACAUAGGAUGAGGUUGACGGUACCUUGAUAAGAAGCACCGGCUAACUACGUGCCAGCAGCCGCGGUAAUACGUACGGUGCGAGUGUUAAUCAGAAUUACUGGGCGUAAAGUGUAAGUCAGAUGUGAAAUCCCUGGGCUCAACCUAGGAACUGCGUUUGAAACUACAAGACUAGAAUAUGUCAGAGGGGGGUAGAAUUCCACGUGUAGCAGUGAAAUGCGUAGAGAUGUGGAGGAAUAUCAAUGGCGAAGGCAGCCCCCUGGGAUAAUAUUGACGCUCAUGCACGAAAGCGUGGGGAGCAAACAGGAUUAGAUACCCCUGUAGUC